GAUGAACGCUGGCGGCGUGCCUAAUACAUGCAAGUCGAGCGAACAGACGAGGCGCUUGCUCCUCUGACGUUAGCGGCGGACGGGUGAGUAACACGUGGAUCACCUACCUAUAAGACUGGGAUAACUUCGGGAAACCGGAGCUAAUACCGGAGAAUAUAUUGAACCGCAUGGUUCAAUAGUGAAAGACGGUGUUGCUGUCACGUAUAGAUGGAUCCGCGCCGCAUUAGCUAGUUGGUAAGGUAACGGCUUACCAAGGCUACGAUGCGUAUCCGACCUCAGAGGGUGAUCGGCCACACUGGAACGGAGACACGGUCAAGACGCCUACGGGACGCAGCAGUAGGGAAUCUUCCGCAAUGGGCGAAAGCCUGACGGAGCAACGCCGAGGGAGUGAUGAAGGUCUUCGGAUCGUAAAACUCUCUUAUUAGGGAAGAACAAAUGUGUAAGUAACUAUGCACGUCUUGACGGUACCUAAUCAGAAAGCCACGGCUAACUACGUG
rnacentral:rRNA from 1 species